GGCUCAGGAUGAACGCUAGCUACAGGCUUAACACAUGACAAGUCGAGGGGAAACGAUAGAGAAAGCUUGCUUUUUCUAGGCGUCGACCGGCGCACGGGUGAGUAACGCGUAUCCAACCUGCCCAUCACUUGGGGAUAACCUUGCGAAAGUAAGACUAAUACCCAAUGACGUCUCUAGAAGACAUCUGAAGGAGAUUAAAGAUUUAUCGGUGAUGGAUGGGGAUGCGUCUGAUUAGCUUGUUGGCGGGUAACGGCCCACCAAGGCAACGAUCAGUAGGGGUUCUGAGAGGAAGGUCCCCCACAUUGGAACUGAGACACGGUCCAAACUCCUACGGGAGGCAGCAGUGAGGAAUAUUGGUCAAUGGACGAGAGUCUGAACCAGCCAAGUAGCGUGCAGGAUGACGGCCCUAUGGGUUGUAAACUGCUUUUAUAAGGGAAUAAAGUGAGUCUCGUGAGACUUUUUGCAUGUACCUUAUGAAUAAGGACCGGCUAAUUCCGUG
rnacentral:rRNA from 1 species